CAGAGCAGUGCAGGCUGCAGUGUGCAGCGUGGGAGAGAGUGGAGAAAACAAGCUGGAAAAAAACGUGUUUCUGGUAAUGCUGCAGUGCAGAGGAGUUGUGCAGAGACGGGGGAGGGAAUGCAGGAAGCUUCGUGUAAUGAUGCAGUGCUGAGCAAGGAAGAGGGAAAGCUGGGCUGCAGAUCCUUGAGCUCAGGAAUUAGAAUUGGUUCCUCAAAACCAGGAGGGACCGAUAUAAGAUGGGUGACACAACACAGGAGUGACAUGAAGCAAACCAUUUGCCCUGUAACACCCCAGCCUGGGCACUGAAGAGUCACUUGAGCACGAUGUCUGCAAACUCAACCACCUUCCCAUUGCUACGCUUCCUGAAUCCUGAAUAAAGGAGAGAAAAACAUGGUGGCUCUGUAGGAUUGCUCACUCUGAAGACUAAGAUAAACUUGGCCUGCAUUACAGCAUCCAUCCUUUGGGUAUACUGGAGAAAUCACUCCAGCUCUCUUCAGCACCCUGGGCAGCACGUGGACUUCUAAUUGUAGAGAGUGGUACAGCGCACCCAGUGCAGGAUCUUGGUGGCACCCACAGAAAGAGAAGCCAGAAAACAUUGCUACGGACCUCAGACCGCCCUGUGUGUCCUCACACGGCUGUUGCAACAACUAACACACGUUCCUGGUGCUGAGCCAAGGCUGCAUCAUUAAACGGCGUUCAUCAUGCAGACAGGGUGUGUGCAGCCUUGUUCUCCUGAGACAGAGGUGGGCUGCAGCCCAGGAGCGUGGCCGUGAGAAGGCUCUGUGCAGAGACAACCUGGGAGCGAAAUCUUGGACCGGCCCCUAGGAGUCAAGUUUACAAGAAAUGAAAUAUUAAUAUAUUUAGAAGAGAAAAAUCGAUCUGAUCUGUACAAAAUAUCGUGACUGCAAGGGCUGGGGUUUUUCAGAAUACCAGGAAAUGCCAUGGAAGUCCCUCCAAAGUUGGAAGCAGCCACAGCGAGUUGGCACACGAGCGGUCCUGAGCUCACACACAGCACCUCGAGGGAUCCAUUCCCCUGGGGAGGAAGCAAAGGGAGGAGGACAAAGAUUGCAGCGUUAAGAUCAUGCUGUUGCUAUGCUGCCUACCCGCCCGUCAGCGCAUCUCUUCGCCAUCCUCCCACGGACACUCGUCUGACUCCUGCCCCUGCAGCUGGUGCAUGCCAGGCGUCUCCUGACCUGGGCUGGCUUUUGCCUGCAGUUCUCCUGCAGGUGGAGAGGAAAUGCGUUGGCAUUUCCUGCAACAGCCUUCUUGAGGUUGGAAGUAUUAAAUCACAGAAAAUUUUUGAGGGAUCGUGGCAAAGCUGGUCCGUGACAAUGUGACAAGGAAAUUCAAUCAGAGGGCAGGGGAGAUUAUAGGAUAGACUAGACUGAGCCUAGGAUGCAAGCAGCUGCUUACUGGAAAGAGACACCGUGAACAAGAGCAUCUGAAGACUUGACACCGCAGGAGGGCUGUGCAUCCAGUGUGUCUCUGUGAAGCUUUAUUCUCAGCCACGGGACACAUUCAGCCCCACGUAUCAUCCCUCCGCUGCCCAGAGACCACAUCAGCCACCAUCAGCUUCAACAGAGGGAAGGAGAGCCACUGGACACCAAACAGCAGCAGGUGGGGAUGGAGGAAUAAAGAUGUUGAAAAGGACUGUUGACAUCCCGAGACCAGCUUGUCUUUGCAGACAGGAGACCUUUUUAGUUGGACUGCUUUCAUACAGGGAGCGGUUUGAAGGUCGUGUACAAGAAAAGAGAAGUUUGGCAGGGAACAGAAAGCUGUGUAGAGGUGAGAUGAAAUCAGGAAUGCUUGGCACACGGAGAGGUGUGGAAGGGUCUGGGGACAGAGGAAGGUUCGGAGAAGGGGUAGGGCGAAGGGGGAGAGGAAAGGGUUGUUAAUGCCAAGAGUGCAUCCUGAAAGGAGCGCAGCAGUCAAAAUUUGGCUUUCCCACUAACCCGGCUGUGUGAGCAGAGGGUAUGCAGAGUUCCUCACUCUCGGCUCUCUGUGGAGCAGGCAGGAGGCACUCUACACACCAUGGCCUUUUGUUAUGGACUUAAUGCUAAAGUUGGCUGAAGCUAAACUAUUUUCAUUAUAACAGCCUGUGAAUUCAUUUCCCUGCAUUUCAGCCCAAUCCAUUUUUUUCUGCUUGACAUUAAGGAAGCUCUGCUGAAGCAGGCAAUCCAGUAGAGAGUGAUAACAGGAUUGGAAAGGAGAGGCGGUCGCCCAAGGUCAGCAGAAGCCUUUGGCUGCCAGUGCCAGGGUGGCCCAGCAAAGGUCACCACAGACGGGCAGAGACGUCUGUUUUGCAAAAGGCUGCUCAGCACACGCAGCGGGCUGGGCCCGAGUAGUUGGGGGGAUUCAGGGAUGCACCUGGCACCCAGAGAGGCAAGGGAUGCUGAUGUCUGCACUUGGUCAGGAGGAGACAAAGCUCAGCAAAGAAGACAAUGCAGCUGUGACUGUCAUGUUGGCUUUGCUUCAUUUACGGUGCCUGUUAAUUACACGAGGCUUGUGUUGGGAACAGCUGGCAAGUUCCCUCCUUCUGUCCCACUUCUGCAUGCACUGGGUCAGUUUUGUGCUUCUUGGGAUUUCAGUGCCAGGACUGGGAGGGAUUUGUUAACUGACUCUUUGCCUCAAAGGUGACCUAAGUCAGACCCAGGAGGUCCACGGAGCUGGAUGCCAGUCAGCUGGUCCUGACCUCUCUACUUCAUUCCUCUCUUUGUGUGUCUGGGCACCAGUUCUCAUUCUGCUUCUGGUUGUGCCACUCCCCAGUUUUAAACUGAGCUGUGAAACAAUUUCAUCUCAAACCGUACAAGCUGACCAAAGGAAAAGAAGGAAAAAAAUAAUUUCAGAUAUGGCUGCUACAAACCUAGAUCCUCCACAUUGUAUAUAGUUUAGUGGUUUUGCCUUUUAAAGGGUUGGAAUUGCUAGAGCCGGGGGGAGGGGAACAAUUCAGAAGUUUAAGGCACAGAACUUCUGUUACUCCCUCUAACUCAGGAUUGGUUAUAUUUGUUAGGCAGUGGUGCAUUAGUUACAGAGGACUCACUCUCAGAAAAUGUCUACACAGCUGUUUUCAGACAUAACUCUUGGGAUUAAAAAAAAAUUUAAAUAAAGUUUGCUGAAGACUUUGAAUACAGCCUGAAUCUUAUUGUAUAAAGGCUUGCAUUCCCCCACCUGAGAACAAAAUCUAGUCUGGAAGUGCUGUUCUUGAACAAAAAUGACAAGCCUUGUGACAGCACAUCUCCUUCACAAGGGAAGUUAGCAGAAGUCCUGCCAGUUUGCUAUUCUAGCAAAAUGAGCAGAAAUCUGCCUGAAGAAAUCCAGGAAAAAAUGGGUAUAGUAAUACCUUGCAUUAAGAAGAGUUUUGGAUGAACGUGGCCACUGACUGAAAAGAAAACAGCCAUAGGACUGUCCUCUAUUGACACAAAGCCACAUCCAGUAGUUCCUGGUGUCAGCCAAGGUGUCUUUAAGCUUGCUAGUGAUGCUGUGGGUCAAAGCCUUCUCCUAAAAUUGCAGAAAGCAGCUGGACACCAAAAUGCUGAGGGCUGGACACUGCUGUAGCAAGGAUGCGACAAGAGAGGCACCAGCCCCAGCAGCCUGGGGCAGGAGGAGAUGUCAGAGGAGAACAGCCCUGCCAGAGCACCCCCAGCUCUGCUGCUGCCAUUUCACCCUGCAAGUGGGGCUGCAGGCCCACAGAGGGGGCUGGAAGGAGCCUGAGGAGUGUGAGGGGUGUCCUGUGACCCAAAAUAUCUCCUGUAGCUCUGACUAUGGCAGUCGGACUGGCUGAUGCAAGUUAGCUGUCCACUCUCUCACCUGGCUAUAUUAACCCCUCAGGAGUUCAAAAUCUCAUAUAGAUUCAGAAAUUUGGAAGCUCAGGCUGUUCUCAUCAAAGCUUUCAAUGUUAUUAUCUCUGCUACUCAGAGGUAGAUUCCAAACACCCUCAGGAAUUCACUUUUAAUAAAUGGUUGUGGGGCGAAGAGGUGGUGAGCAUCCAGCACGGCCCCUGUUAUUAUGCUUUCCCCUUGCUCAGUGCAGCUCUUGCUCAAAUAUUGGAGCCAUAGGGGGCUGCUGGUGGUGAUGGGGAGCUUAUUACAGUUCAUUUCUCAUCCAAAUUAAAAUCAGCACAUUUGGUUCAACUUGCUGUGCUGACUGAGCGCUUUUGCUGGAGCAGAGUAAGACUAGUGGUCCUUGGCAGGGACAAAUAUGGGAGGUGGACACUGGAGACUCACUACCUGAGAAGAUAGAGGAUCACUGAUUGCAGAAUUAAAGCUAGCACAAAUUACCCCCUCCUGUUCCCACUGAAGUCAAUAGUCAGCUUGGAAAGCAACAGGACUGCCUUCAGACUGCAGGCUUGUGAGGAUGUGGUGUAGCGAGUGCCAUCUACAUCUGGAGAAGGCUGAAGCAGAAAAAACUACUAGUCCUAAGUCAGUUGGCAAUAGGCACAGCCACCUGAGUGCCACAGCUCGGCUGGAUGGCUGAAAUGUUAGUCAAACCACUUCUCUCCUGGCAGCACGCCUCCCCUGAGGCCUGGGCUGCUCUAAGGGUCCACUGGCCCCCCUCGGAUGUGUUGUACGAGAAGCAGCAGUGGCACCCAGCUGUCUGCCCCAGGCACAGGUCCCUUUCGGUGGACAACAGCAGCAGCUGAAGGCAGUUUCUUCGCUGCGGCAGGAUCUGGCCUCUCCAGGCGAUGCAAGGAGAAGGUGGGAGGAAGCCGGGCGGUAAAGCCCUGAUCUGAGUCAUUUGAGUGACUUGCAGAAUUCAUUUGACUAAGCAGCUGAAGGCGCUCGGAGAGUUUUCUUCUUGUUGGUUUUUCUCCCAGCUCUGCUAUCCGUAACAAAGAUUUCCCAUGUUUCACCUGCCCAGCCUUUCAAAUCAUACAUGCGACGCGCACGCGCACACACACAGGCUGACGUUUUCAACAUCUUAACCCUAUCUCCCAUGAGCAUCCUCAGCUGUCAGUACCCAGGUAAAUUUAACUUGCCUGUGUCCUUGACCGCGCCAAGGAGUGAGAUGCAAAUGGCCCAUGUGGCUUAUUCCCAAGUCAGAAUACGGCCUCAGCCUCUUCAGUGGGAACAAGUCAGUAGAGGGGCUCCUCUUCACUGCUGUUCAGAAAUCUGAAUUACAUAUGCUUCCCUUUGAAAUCUCCUUUCACCUGGGAGUAGAGCUGUGGGCUCCAAGGUUUAUUGUAUAUUUUACUAUUUUAUUCCAAUUCUUUCUUUCUUGUCUUCAAAAGGUGCUUCUCACAAUGCAGGGGGAGGAUCUAUUUCUUAGUUUAAGAGGGAAAAAAGUAAAUGUGGAACAAUACUUGACAAAAUAAGCCUAUAAGGGAAAAUCUUCCUGCAGUUUUACUUUUUAUUGCAAGUUAUUAUGUACACCUCCAGCUCUGACAUUAUUUUAUAAUCCAAAAUAUUGCCACUCAGUUAAAAAAAAAAAAAAAAAAAAAAGUUAAUACAAAUAUGUUAGUACCUCUUUGCCUGGCUUAAUAAUGGACACCUUAGGUAGGGUUCUCCAUAAGGUCUAAGCAGCUGGUGUCCCUGCUGAGUUCUACAGCUACUCUUGUCCCCUGCUCCGCUCAGAUCUAUAUGCUGCAGCACCUACUUAGCCAAGAGCCAGAGAUCCCAGCUGAGGGGGCAUUUUAAGCCUAUGAAGCUAUUUAUUGUCAUCUAUAUACAGCUUCUGACAUCAAUUUAAUUUCCUGUUUUUAUUGACCCAUUUCACGCUUCUGAAGUCGAUUUGCAAAGCCCAUUAGGGACAGCUGUGCUCCCAUGUCCUGCCUAAAUGUCCAUGCUAAAUGUCCAUGGUGCUCCCAAAGAGCACAACCAGAGUCAUCACCAGGGCUCCAGCUUAGGGCACCGGCUGCAGCACACCUUGUCCUCAGAGCCCAGCAGUGGGCAGCCUUGGGGACAGGCAGUGGCAGGGAUGAGGGGGAAGGACCGGGACAGACCCAAGAAAAAGGAAG